GAUGAACGCUAGCGGCAGGCUUAACACAUGCAAGUCGAGGGGUAUAGCAGCAAUGCUAGAGACCGGCGCACGGGUGCGUAACGCGUAUGCAAUCUGCCUUUUACAGGGGAAUAGCCCAGAGAAAUUUGGAUUAAUGCCCCAUAGUAUUAUAGAAUGGCAUCAUUUUAUAAUUAAAGUCACAACGGUAAAGAUGAGCAUGCGUCCCAUUAGUUAGNGGUAAGGUAACGGCUUACCAAGACGAUGAUGGGUAGGGGUCCUGAGA
rnacentral:rRNA from 1 species